rnacentral:rRNA from 1 species
UACGGGGGGCAAGCGUUGUUCGGAAUUACUGGGCGUAAAGGGCUCGUAGGUGGCCAACUAAGUCAGACGUGAAAUCCCUCGGCUUAACCGGGGAACUGCGUCUGAUACUGGAUGGCUUGAGUUUGGGAGAGGGACGCGGAAUUCCAGGUGUAGCGGUGAAAUGCGUAGAUAUCUGGAGGAACACCGGUGGCGAAGGCGGCUCACUGGCCCCGAUACUGACGCUGAGGCACGAAAGCGUGGGGAGCAAACAGGG